GCGGCAGCUACACAUGCAGUCGAGCGGUAGCACAGAGAGCUUGCUCUCGGGUGACGAGCGGCGGACGGGUGAGUAAUGUCUGGGAAACUGCCUGAUGGAGGGGGAUAACUACUGGAAACGGUAGCUAAUACCGCAUAACGUCGCAAGACCAAAGUGGGGGACCUUCGGGCCUCAUGCCAUCAGAUGUGCCCAGAUGGGAUUAGCUAGUAGGUGGGGUAACGGCUCACCUAGGCGACGAUCCCUAGCUGGUCUGAGAGGAUGACCAGCCACACUGGAACUGAGACACGGUCCAGACUCCUACGGGAGGCAGCAGUGGGGAAUAUUGCACAAUGGGCGCAAGCCUGAUGCAGCCAUGCCGCGUGUGUGAAGAAGGCCUUCGGGUUGUAAAGCACUUUCAGCGGGGAGGAAGGCGGUGAGGUUAAUAACCUCAUCGAUUGACGUUACCCGCAGAAGAAGCACCGGCUAACUCCGUGCCAGCAGCCGCGGUAAUACGGAGGGUGCAAGCGUUAAUCGGAAUUACUGGGCGUAAAGCGCACGCAGGCGGUCUGUCAAGUCGGAUGUGAAAUCCCCGGGCUCAACCUGGGAACUGCAUUCGAAACUGGCAGGCUAGAGUCUUGUAGAGGGGGGUAGAAUUCCAGGUGUAGCGGUGAAAUGCGUAGAGAUCUGGAGGAAUACCGGUGGCGAAGGCGGCCCCCUGGACAAAGACUGACGCUCAGGUGCGAAAGCGUGGGGAGCAAACAGGAUUAGAUACCCUGGUAGUCCACGCCGUAAACGAUGUCGAUUUGGAGGUUGUGCCCUUGAGGCGUGGCUUCCGGAGCUAACGCGUUAAAUCGACCGCCUGGGGAGUACGGCCGCAAGGUUAAAACUCAAAUGAAUUGACGGGGGCCCGCACAAGCGGUGGAGCAUGUGGUUUAAUUCGAUGCAACGCGAAGAACCUUACCUGGUCUUGACAUCCACAGAACUUUCCAGAGAUGGAUUGGUGCCUUCGGGAACUGUGAGACAGGUGCUGCAUGGCUGUCGUCAGCUCGUGUUGUGAAAUGUUGGGUUAAGUCCCGCAACGAGCGCAACCCUUAUCCUUUGUUGCCAGCGGUCAGGCCGGGAACUCAAAGGAGACUGCCAGUGAUAAACUGGAGGAAGGUGGGGAUGACGUCAAGUCAUCAUGGCCCUUACGACCAGGGCUACACACGUGCUACAAUGGCAUAUACAAAGAGAAGCGACCUCGCGAGAGCAAGCGGACCUCAUAAAGUAUGUCGUAGUCCGGAUUGGAGUCUGCAACUCGACUCCAUGAAGUCGGAAUCGCUAGUAAUCGUAGAUCAGAAUGCUACGGUGAAUACGUUCCCGGGCCUUGUACACACCGCCCGUCACACCAUGGGAGUGGGUUGCAAAAGAAGUAGGUAGCUUAACCUUCGGAGGCGCUA
rnacentral:rRNA from 1 species